CUUUUAGUGGCUGAAAAGAGCAUUGGCCUCUUAAGCCAAAAAAUGAAAAAUUCCUAAAAG
rnacentral:tRNA from 1 species